rfam:Triticum aestivum genome assembly, contig: Triticum_aestivum_CS42_TGACv1_scaffold_435748_5DL
CUGUCUGAUGAUGAUCAAACUAAAUACUUUCGCUCUUCUGAUGCGCUAUCUCAUGACGCGGUGCGGAAGCAAUUUGGAGACCUGAAUUGGGGAAAU